ensembl:lncRNA
GGUGAAUUGAGUCUUUAUGACAGAAGAGAGGUUCAUUUGAUCAUCAGAAAGGUGGUGAAUUGAGUCUUUAUGACAGAAGAGAGGUUCAUUUGAUCAUCAGAAAGGUGGUGAAUUGAGUCUUUAUGACAGAAGAGAGGUUCAUUUGAUGGUCAGAAAGGUGGUGAAUUGAGUCUUUAUGACAGAAGAGAGGUUCAUUUGAUCAUCAGAAAGGUGGUGAAUUGAGUCUUUAUGACAGAAGAGAGGUUCAUUUGAUCAUCAGAAAGGUGGUGAAUUGAGUCUUUAUGACAGAAGAGAGGUUCAUUUGAUCAUCAGAAAGGUGGUGAAUUGAGUCUUUAUGACAGAAGAGAGGUUCAUUUGAUCAUCAGAAAGGUGGUGAAUUGAGAUGAAAUAGCAGAAUGGGUGUUUUUUAUGAUGAGCUGCUGUUAGACAUAGUACUCCAAUACACCUGUCUGUAUCCAGCUGUUAACCAAUCAUAAACAUGUCUUUAAUAGGCCAAGUAAUGUUAUCUACCUUCUCUAAUAAUGUAUGACAGCGUGUAAACCAAUGCAGUAGUGUAGAGCUGUCCCUCUAACCUGUACAGUCUGUAUGAGGAAUGUCUCUAGAACCUUAUCAGUGGUCCUGGUCUUUGUAUUCAUGAUUACAUAUUGCUGUGUCACCAUGCCCAAAGGCUUAGUCAAACCAGACAGGCUGCACCAUCCUACACUCUUAUGGGUACAUACUACUGUACAUUCUCUAUCCGUCUGCCUGACUGAAAUGUUCACAUACAUAGUCCGUCUGUUGUUUUAGCCAAUAACUUGGCAGAACACUGAGGGGUUCAGUCAGCCAACCAAUGACUGAAGAAUGCAGGAUGCUGUCCUUGCUGGAAUGUUGUAGUAUAUGUCAUCAUAAGUUCAUGGGCAGAGUUUCUGUGUUCACUAUAGUUCUCAGUGAGAACGCCAUUUUAACCUUACAGGACACAGCAAGACUCCUCUUCGUCAUGUUCUUCUUCAUCCUCCUCCACUGCACCAUAUUGGUGACCUGCUGCUGGGCCCACAGACAGAACUACAGUUAUAUCUCUGACUCUGAGCCCCACCUGUGGGCUUAAGAGAGAGGAGAUGGACUUCUAACAACAACCUGGACCUCCAUGUUGCUUUGGGGCGGACUGACUCUGAGGCGUUGUGAGAGACAAUGGACAAUAAGCCCUCUAUGGCGUCCAUGUUGCUUUGGGGCGGACUGAGUGUGUGGGAAAAGUAUGCUAAUAUGGGCUUAUGCAGUCAGACAGGAACCUGUAGUUACCUAGAGACUGAGCUAGUCUAGGAACAGGAGAACGUGUUAAUGAAGUCUUGGGAGGGAGGGAUCAGGGUUAUUAUUAUUAUUAAGCCUUAAUAAAUCCACAGUAAUGAUGAUCAACCCAGUUCAUCCCUCUACUAGGCAUGUCAUCAUGUAACGCAUUCCUUCUAUACAGCAGGGGAAACAAACCCAGUCCUCCAGGGCCACUGGAAUGAUGCUCUCACUGUUGUACUCUACAGCAUACAGCUUCUGGUUAGAAAGAUGUAGGGUGAAACUAGGUGAGACAGCUGUUGUACUCUACAGCAUACAGCUUCUGGUUAGAAAGAUGUAGGGUGAAACUAGGUGAGACAGCUGUUGUACUCUACAGCAUAUAGCUUCUGGUUAGAAAGAUUAUAGGGUGAAACCAGCACAACCAGUCUCUGCUGGACCUGUCUCUCCCUGCUGUAGAAGGCUCAAACCACCUGUAAGUCAGUGCAACUCAAUAUCACACUCAAUUUGUGCAAAUAUAUACAAAAAGUAUUUCAGCAGAUUUAGUGUAUUUUUAUGUGGCUUAAUUUGUGUGAAAAUACAAAAAAAAUGCUCUUAGGUGUGCCCCCCAAAAAUGUAUUUUCCUAUGAAUGAAGUUGCACAAAAAUGUGUCUUUUCACACGAAUUAAGACACACAAAAACACACAAAAUCUGCUUAAAUAGUUUUUGUACAUAUUUGCACGAGUUGAGUGUGAGAUUGUGUUGCAACGUGUUAUAAAGUGCUUGAAUUGUGCCAGAACGCAGAAGUACAGAGUAUCGCACCUCAAAUGUAUUACUGUUUUGAGUUUUGGCACCUCUUACAGAGUUUUACUUUAAAAUAUUGUGGCGUUCUGCCAGUGGCACAUAAUUAUAAACAGUAGGGGCGCCCAAAAUAAGUACUGUCACCUAUUUCAGUCCACUUCAAGCACUGGUGUCAUAGAUAG